rnacentral:rRNA from 1 species
AUUGAACGCUGGCGGCAUGCCUUACACAUGCAAGUCGAACGGCAGCACGGGUGCUUGCACCUGGUGGCGAGUGGCGAACGGGUGAGUAAUACAUCGGAACAUGUCCUGUAGUGGGGGAUAGCCCGGCGAAAGCCGGAUUAAUACCGCAUACGAUCUACGGAUGAAAGCGGGGGACCUUCUGGCCUCGCGCUAUAGGGUUGGCCGAUGGCUGAUUAGCUAGUUGGUGGGGUAAAGGCCUACCAAGGCGACGAUCAGUAGCUGGUCUGAGAGGACGACCAGCCACACUGGGACUGAGGCACGGCCCAGACUCCUACGGGAGGCAGCAGUGGGGAAUUUUGGACAAUGGGCGAAAGCCUGAUCCAGCAAUGCCGCGUGUGUGAAGAAGGCCUUCGGGUUGUAAAGCACUUUUGUCCGGAAAGAAAUCCUUGGCCAUAAUACGGUCGGGGGAUGACGGUACCGGAAGAAUAAGCACCGGCUAACUACGUG